rnacentral:lncRNA from 1 species
GAGUUGCAGUUAGCCUCAUCGUAUAUUGCUAAUCUGUUAGCUGAAGAUUGUAAUCAUGUUUUUCCCUGAUUAAUUAAAGUAUGAAGCGGUAAAAAAAAUCAUUUUUUGCCCAGGCCUAACCGUUAUUUUAAGUGUCUGUUAGAAUAAUGGCCGAAAAUAAUACAAAAUUGAAAAACACAAUAAAUAAAUAAAUAAAUAAAUAAAUAAAUAAAUAAAUAAAUAAAUAAAUAAAUAAAUAUCGGGUGUUCGUAAAUUGAGACAGUUGGUGCGCAUUUUGAUUUGUAGACUCGGGAGGGCCAGAUCGCCGAGCCAGGCCUAGGCCAGCCAUGGCCUGGCUGCCAUGGGCCAAGGCCCUUGUUUGAUUGUAUUUUAGGAAAAACAGCCGACGUAGAUGAUUAUUUGUUUGAUUCCUAUUUAGAAGCCUGGUUAGCAACACACUACUACCUGCGCGCGAGCUCGAGCUCAGCCUUGCUCUAAUAAAACAAAGAAGAGAAGCGUUUCUGGGAGGA